GUGCUGGAUAAGAGAUGCUUUUAGCAGAGUACCACUAGGUUAGCUCAGUGGUUAUACUCAAUGAUGAUCAUUUGAGGAUAUGCACAGCCUUAGUAAUUAGACCUUCAUGGGGGAUUUUGAUGUGUUGUGUAUUUCAUAUUACCAUGGACCAUUUCUGUAUCUUUGUGCCUUAAUGGUGGGGAAAAUCCUGGGCAAGUUUUUCAUGCUGGGACUAGUUAUGGAACUUGUCACAGAGCUCUGGGUAGGGGGAUUAGGGCCACCUCUCCACAUUGGGUCAAGGAACUUGUAACUGGGGCUCUGGUGUGGGAAAGGCCCAGAAAUUAGAGACUUACUCUCAUCAGUAAGGGUGCUUACUCUCAUCAGUAAGUGCCCAGCUCUGCUUUAGGACAUACAGUGAGAUGUAGCAUCCUUAACUAUC
rnacentral:lncRNA from 1 species